rnacentral:rRNA from 1 species
AUUGAACGCUGGCGGCAGGCCUAACACAUGCAAGUCGAACGGCAGCGGGGGGAAGCUUGCUUCCCCGCCGGCGAGUGGCGGACGGGUGAGUAAUGCCUGGGGAGCUGCCCAAUCGAGGGGGAUACCAGUUGGAAACGACUGCUAAUACCGCAUACGCCCUGAGGGGGAAAGGUGGGGAUCUUCGGACCUAUCGCGAUUGGAUGCACCCAGGUGGGAUUAGCUAGUUGGUGAGGUAACGGCUCACCAAGGCGACGAUCUCUAGCUGGUCUGAGAGGAUGACCAGCCACACUGGAACUGAGACACGGUCCAGACUCCUACGGGAGGCAGCAGUGGGGAAUAUUGCACAAUGGGGGAAACCCUGAUGCAGCCAUGCCGCGUGUGUGAAGAAGGCCUUCGGGUUGUAAAGCACUUUCAGCGAGGAGGAAAGGGUGGAAGCUAAUACCUUUCAUCUGUGACGUUACUCGCAGAAGAGGCACCGGCUAACUCCGUGCCAGCCGCCGCGGUAA